rnacentral:sRNA from 2 species
CCGUGCACAUCGCCGAAUUCUGCCGGUGCCCGGGGCCCCCUGAACACAUCGCUCGGCAGAAGCGGGGGAACCAGAAACGGUCCCUCCCCCGGGACCUAGGGGUUAAGUCGCCAGGGCCUCCACCCUGCGACCGGGUGUCUCCCACCCGCAUCCGACAGCUCACCUCGCAGGCAAGAGGGAGGACAU